CGACGCCGCGUGGUGGUGAAGCUCUUCGGAGUGUAAGCCUUUCGGCAGGAAGAGUAAAGACGGUACCUGCAAAAGAAGCCCGGCUAACUACGUGC
rnacentral:rRNA from 1 species